rnacentral:rRNA from 1 species
GGCUCAGGAUGAACGCUAGCUACAGGCUUAACACAUGCAAGUCGAGGGGCAGCACAAGGCAGCAAUGCUGAGGUGGCGACCGGCGCACGGGUGCGUAACGCGUAUCCAACCUUCCCGUUACUCUUGGAUAGCCUUCCGAAAGGGAGAUUAAUACAAGAUGGUGUUGAAAUUCCGCAUGUUAUUUCAACUAAAGAUUUAUCGGUAACGGAUGGGGAUGCGUGACAUUAGAUAGAUGGCGGGGUAACGGCCCACCAUGUCUACGAUGUCUAGGGGUUCUGAGAGGAAGGUCCCCCACACUGGAACUGAGACACGGUCCAGACUCCUACGGGAGGCAGCAGUGAGGAAUAUUGGUCAAUGGCCGGAAGGCUGAACCAGCCAAGUAGCGUGAAGGAUGAAGGUUCUAUGGAUUGUAAACUUCUUUUAUGAGGGAAUAAAACCUCCCACGUGUGGGAGCUUGUAUGUACCUUAUGAAUAAGCAUCGGCUAACUCCGUG